AUUGAACGCUGGCGGCAGGCUUAACACAUGCAAGUCGAGCGGGGGAAGGUAGCUUGCUACCGGACCUAGCGGCGGACGGGUGAGUAAUGCUUAGGAAUCUGCCUAUUAGUGGGGGACAACAUCUCGAAAGGGAUGCUAAUACCGCAUACGUCCUACGGGAGAAAGCAGGGGAUCUUCGGACCUUGCGCUAAUAGAUGAGCCUAAGUCGGAUUAGCUAGUUGGUGGGGUAAAGGCCUACCAAGGCGACGAUCUGUAGCGGGUCUGAGAGGAUGAGCCGCCACCCUGGGACUGGGGCACGGCCCAGACUCCUACGGGAGGCAGCAGUGGGGAAUAUUGGACAAUGGGGCGAACCCUGAUCCAGCCAUGCCGCGUGUGUGAAGAAGGCCUUAUGGUUGUAAAGCACUUUAAGCGAGGAGGAGGCUACUCUAGUUAAUACCUAGGGAUAGUGGACGUUACUCGCAGAAUAAGCACCGGCUAACUCUGUGCCAGCCGCCGCCGUAA
rnacentral:rRNA from 1 species